CGUCCGUCGUCGUCUGACCCCAGCCUACCGUCCGUCACCAUCGCAGCUUGCCACAUAUUCCGUCGCCGUUGUCGCUCCAUCGGGAUUUGAUGUAUACCUGAUAAUGCCCAGCAUCCAACGGCCCAUUCUAACAUAUCAUUCUAAAGUUGCUGAUCCAGGAAGUGAUUAAAUUUGUCCCUUCGUUUUACCCCCCUAUGAUCAAAUAUCAUCUUCUUCGAUUCCUGGUAAUCUCCACUAUACUUCAAUCUCCAUCAUCAGAUGCUACCUUCGAUUCACCAAGCACAUACCAGUUGAAAUCUUCUCCAGGCUAAAAAAGGUGGCUAAUUACUCUCGUGUGCUUCGACGAUAGCUCCGACCACCGAUUGUCAAAGAAAUGAUUCACAAUUUUAGGAUUCUCUGGUGGUUCAAUGAUGGGCUAGUAUGAAGAUUCAUGGGCUUUCGAAGCAAUUUCAAGUUUCAGGUUCUCGAUGUGGCUCUCUCUACUCUUCAAUCACUCGGAAAUUCGAUAAUUUACCCUUUUGUAGAAAUCGAUUUUAUGAUUCUACCUAUGAUCUUGAAUAUUUUUUGGGGUUAAUCUUUCAUUUUGAAUGUUGAACUUCUGCUUUCUCAUCGAAGGGUAAAUUAGCAUAAUACGUUUAUCAAUAGACUUUGUUGUUAUAAUGCAAAAAAUAAGCUUGUUUUCAGAUAUAUCAUUGAUUUUCA